GCUUGGUCUAAAAAUAUCUCCUCCACUGACAUACCACAUGGGUUGAUAUUCCUGCUGUCAGAGGCACACCUUGAAAUUAAGGUGUCUUCCUACAAAAAGUCUUGUUGUUAAGUUCAGACACUGUCUGAGAUGAGGUAAGGCAUUAGCAGCCUAUCAGUAAUUACCAUGCAACCAGAGGAGUUUCCCACCCUGAAAUACAGAAGAGCCAUAUUUUGGUGCAGAGUCCAGAAGUUCCAAACAGAGGAGGAUCCUGCCCUGAAAGGGAAGCUCCAGAUAGGAGACAGAAGAGGCAAGGCCUUGAGUAGCAUACAAGGGUUAAGGGCUCAUUGGCAACAGGAAGGAGAAUGGUCUCCAUUAUAAUUUCAUCUGGAGCUGCCGUCAUCUGGCAGCCAAGAGCCUUACUGCCUUUACAUCUGAUGUUCCUUGUGCCAAGAAUGCCUUUCUCUCAGCUUUUCUUGGGGGUGGCUCCUUCUUUCAUGCAGGGUCAGCUUAUCAGAAAGGCCUUCCGUGACCACCUGGCUAAAGUGAUGCCCUUCUCCAUGACCCUGUUACUCUCUGCGAUGGUCUUUGAAUUUUCAGGUAUUUAUAAUUCCUGCCCCAAAUUUGGCUAUAAGCUUCAAGAAUACUGGGACCUGGCUUGUUUACUGAAGCAUCUCUAGAGCCACAACAAUGGGUGAAACACCAUGGACAGUUAGCAAAUAUUUGCUAAGCAAAUGAAAGACUACACGACAAGAGCAAAAGAAGUGCAGGAAUGGGCCCAUGCUCAUGGAAUUCACUGGUCUUACCAUGUUCGUCAUGAUGCUGAAGCAGCUGGCUUCAUAGAAUAUUGUAACAGCCCUUUGAAGACUCAAUUACAGCACCAGCUAAGUAGUAAUACCUUGGAGGGCUGGGGCAAGUUUCUCCAGAAGGCUGAAUAUGCUCUGAAUUAGUAUCCAAUAUAUGGUGCUAUUUCUCCCCUAGCCGGGAUUCACAGAUCCAGGAAUCAACGGGGUGGAAAUGGGAGUGGCACCAGUCACCAUCACCCCUAGCGACCCACUAGCAAAAUGUUUUUUUCCUGUUCUUGAGACUUUAUGCUUUGCUGGCCUAGAGGUCUUAGUUCCAGAGGGAAGAAUGCUGCCACCAGAAGACAAAACAAUGAUUUCACUGAGCUGGAAGUUAAGACUGCCACCCCGCCACUUGGGGCUCUUCAUGCCUUUGAGUCAACAGGCUAAGAGAGGAAGAGAAGGAAGGAAUAGCCAAUGAUCAGUAACUGUGCAGAGCCAGGAUCAAAAACUCAAAUGCCCACAGGGGCCAGGUAAUAAAGCAAGUAAAUGAAGGCAUUUGCAAUGUUAAACUGAUGGGCAGAGUUUUUACUUAAAUAAAUGUCUGCUUUCUUAAAAAAAAAAAUAUGUGGCUUCUUUGGUCUAGCUUUCAUUUUCAUGGGUACAAGAAUGAUUUAUUGGCCUUAAGGGAUAUGAUGACUUUGAAAGCGCAAUGAUCCUGGACUAUGGAUUCUGUGUGUUAGUGCUGGGGACUGG
rnacentral:lncRNA from 1 species